GGGUGAGUAGCUCAACGGUAGAGCAACUGCCUUACAAGCAGUAGGCUGCGGGUUCAAGUCCUGCCUUACCC
rnacentral:tRNA from 1 species